rnacentral:rRNA from 1 species
UACGGGGGGAGCAAGCGUUGUUCGGAUUUACUGGGCGUAAAGGGCGCGUAGGCGGCCACCGCAAGUCGACUGUGAAAUCUCCGGGCUUAACCCGGGGAACUGCGUCUGAUACUGGAUGGCUAGAGGUUGGGAGAGGGAUGCGGAAUUCCAGGUGUAGCGGUGAAAUGCGUAGAUAUCUGGAGGAAUACCGGUGGCGAAGGCGGCAUCCUGGACCAUUACUGACGCUGAGGCGCGAAAGCUAGGGGAGCAAACGGGG